UACGUAGGUGGCAAGCGUUAUCCGGAAUUACUGGGCGUAAAGCGCACGCAGGCGGCCUUUUAAGUUUGACGUGAAAGCUCCUGGCUUAACCGGGAGAGGUCGUUGAAGACUGGAAGGCUUGAGACGAUGAGAGGGGUGCAGAAUUCCCGGUGUAGUGGUGGAAUGCGUAGAUAUCGGGAGGAAUACCAGUGGCGAAGGCGGCACCCUGGCAUCGGUCUGACGCUCAUGUGCGAAGGCGUGGGGGAGCGAACGGG
rnacentral:rRNA from 1 species